rnacentral:RNase_P_RNA from 1 species
GGUAAACCCCACUCGGAGCAAGACCAAAUAGGAAUCCAUUGGCGUGGUCCGCGCCGGAUUCGGGUAGGUUGCUUGAGGUAUGUGGUGACGCAUACCCUAGAUGAAUGACUGUCCACGACAGAACCCGGCUUAUAGGCUGACUCUUUUA